rnacentral:rRNA from 1 species
GAUGAACGCUGGCGGCGUGCCUAAUACAUGCAAGUCGAGCGAACGGACGAGAAGCUUGCUUCUCUGAUGUUGGCGGCGGACGGGUGAGUAACACGUGGAUAACCUACCUAUAAGACUGGGAUAACUUCGGGAAACCGUAGCUAAUACCGGAUAAUAUUUUGAACCGCAUGGUUCAAAAGUGAAAGACGGUCUUGCUGUCACUUAUAGAUGGAUCCGCGCUGCAUUAGCUAGUUGGUAAGGUAACGGCUUACCAAGGCAACGAUGCAUAGCCGACCUGAGAGGGUGAUCGGCCACACUGGAACUGAGACACGGUCCAGACUCCUACGGGAGGCAGCAGUAGGGAAUCUUCCGCAAUGGGCGAAAGCCUGACGGAGCAACGCCGCGUGAGUGAUGAAGGUCUUCGGAUCGUAAAACUCUGUUAUUAGGGAAGAACAUAUGUGUAAGUAACUGUGCACAUCUUGACGGUACCUAAUCAGAAAGCCACGGCUAACUACGUG